AUUACUUUUUGGUCUUUUGGUUAAAAUCAAGUGUAGUAUCUGUUCUUAUCAGUUUAAUAUCUGAUGUACUUUUUAAAUGAGAAUAUUAUAUUAAACAGAGGUUUAGAAUAAAGAGCUAGGAUAGAGACUCAUUCCUUCUGCUCACUACAUCAACCUGCUAUUGCAAUACUUCCAAGAAUAGUGCUCUUGUU